GAUGAACGCUGGCGGCGUGCCUAAUACAUGCAAGUCGAGCGAACGGACGAGAAGCUUGCUUCUCUGAUGUUAGCGGCGGACGGGUGAGUAACACGUGGAUAACCUACCUAUAAGACUGGGAUAACUUCGGGAAACCGGAGCUAAUACCGGAUGAUAUUUUGAACCGCAUGGUUCAAAAGUGAAAGACGGUCUUGCUGUCACUUAUAGAUGGAUCCGCGCUGCAUUAGCUAGUUGGUAAGGUAAUGGCUUACCAAGGCAACGAUGCAUAGCCGACCUGAGAGGGUGAUCGGCCACACUGGAACUGAGACACGGUCCAGACUCCUACGGGAGGCAGCAGUAGGGAAUCUUGCGCAAUGGGCGAAAGCCUGACGGAGCAACGCCGCGUGAGUGAUGAAGGUCUUCGGAUCGUAAAACUCUGUUAUUAGGGAAGAACAUAUGUGUAAGUAACUGUGCACAUCUUGACGGUACCUAAUCAGAAAGCCACGGCUAACUACGUG
rnacentral:rRNA from 1 species